AUGUAAUGCAUUAACGGUAACGCCUGUGCCUUCCAAACGCUUAGCCAGCUCGCGUGUAAAUAAUAUAUUUGCCAAUUUGCUCUGAUUAAUUUUAGCUGCUGCUCGAUAGUAUGUACGGAAUAAACUGCGACGCAAUAUGGCUAGACGUAUUAUUUAUGAAUUUUCUCGGGCGUAAUUAAGUACCCAAUGGACUAACUAAAAUAAUCGCUGCAUACAUACGUAUGUACAUAGGUUGAACUAGAACCGGAUAAGUAAAACCAAGCUGCUAUAUUCUAAGCCGAAGAUUAGACACACUUCAGCAAUCCCAAAGAAUGUGGAACAUUUGGAAAUUUUUAUUUAUCCAAUAAAUCAAUUAUGUAUAUGUA